GGGGUUUCACCGUAUUAGCCAGGAUGGUCUCGAUCUCCUGACCUUGUGAUCCGCCCGCCUCGGCCUCCCAAAUUCCUGGGAUUACAGGCUUGAGCCACCACGCCCGGCCAGUGGAUCAUCUUAUGAUUCCCCGAAAGGAUUUACAGAAAACUCCCCUGGACAAUGUGAAGCUAUCCUGGUUCACAGAUGGUUCAUACUUCCAGGAUGAUCACGGUGAAUAUCCUACGCCCACUUGCUUUGAGGUUGGGAAAGCAGUCGCUUGGCCUUCAGCCACUCGAGCCCAGCAGGUGGAGCUAUUUGCCCUCACUGGAGCCUGCCUUCUCACUAAGGGAAAAUCUGCUAAUCUUUGUACAGAUAGCAGGCCAAGAAUAAAAUAAAGGAGAAAGCAGCACACCAUUCUCACCGGUCAAGUGGUCGAACCCAACAUCCAAGACCCAGCGAGCAGCCAAGAUCAGUGCAACCUCCCGACCUCUGGCUCUGACUCCAACAGGGUGAGCACAAAGCCCUCGCACAUGGAGCCUUUUACAUUGUAGAUGAUGGAGCAGCUUGUAUCCUCCAUAAAUUCCAUGCGCAUCUGCAUGCACUGUCCCUUAGAGCUGGUUCUGCCCAGAACCUUGGUGACCCUGGCCAGCUUGAUAGGCUGCACGUGGCUGGUGUCCAUGAUGGCAGUGCGGUGGCAGUUGGGUUAAGAUAACACUUACGUUUGCUGGUUUAUUAAAAAGGGUAUUUUUAAGGAUACAAAUCAACAGCGAGAUGAAGAGACGCAUAAGGUGAGGUCUGGAAGGGUCCUAAGCACAGGAGCUUCUGUCCUCAUGGAGUUAGGGUGCAACAUCCUCCCAGCCUGUGGAUGAGUUCUUCUUCACCUUUCUCUCAGCCUUCACAUGUUCAGCUCUCUGGAUGCCCCCCAAACCCUGCCCUGUGGGCCUUCUAUACUUUAUUGGUUGUCUAUGAUAGAAGCAUGGACAACUGUGUCAAAACAUGAUUGAAUUAAAAAAAAAAAGUCUGAUCUAAACCUAGCAAGACAUCUCCACGUCCUUCCUCCAGAGUAUGGGGAAGGGCCCUUUCUGGAAUGAGGAUCUUUUGAUCCACAAUCAGAUUAGAGUCCUGCCUUGGGCAAAAGAAAGAGAAGGGCAGAGAUAUUCUGUCUCCUGAGACCCAAAGCACCCAACAUUAUAACAAAAGACUGUAACAAUGGUUCUUAGAACUAUGACCUAGGAACUGUGGACAAAGAACUAUGACCUAGGAACUGUGGACAACAUCUCUAUAUCAGGACACCACAGAUGGAAAAGACUGUGACAAGUACAGGUUUCUGAUGAUUUUAAGAUCAUACCAUUGGGCUGGGUAAGAAUUUCUAGAACUCUAAGGGAAAAACUAGACUCAUCAAAUUACUAACCCAAUAUCAAGCAGGAUAAAAAUUAAUCACAUGAGACUAAAUGGACUGACGAAUUAUGGGUUUCUAUGUCUUUUUAAAAUUCAAAAAUAUUGCUGGUUCUUUCGUUUUUCAGAUUUAAGGAAACAUUUUCUUUUAGGCUAUCUAUAGCUUAAGGCAAUUUGGUAACUUAUACCUUUGUGAACAAAAAUGGAGACAUUUGCUUUUUUCUCCCUACCUGAUCCUUCCAGAAUUUAGAAGCUACUCAUGAGGAUUCUUAUUUUUAUGACAAAAUAAUUAUUUACAUAUGUUCAAUAGAAUCUGCUGUUGGCUGGGCAUCUCAGUCUCCCAAAAGUGAGGGAUUAAUCCCAACACUUUGGGAGGCUGAGAUGGGAGGGAAGAUCACUUGAGGCUAGAAGGUUAAGGCUCUAGGGAGCUAUUAUUGCACCACUGUGCUCCAGCCUGGGCAACAGAGUGAGGCCCUGACAGAAGGAGAGGAAGAAAGAAGAAAGGAGAGGAAGAAGGAGGAGGAGAAUCUUCCCUCUUUAUAACAGGACACAAUUGGAAAUAUUGGAUAUAUUAUGACUGGGAUAUCGAAAUUGAGACUGUAGAUACAGACUUUGCCUGCAGUACUUACAGACACAUUCUGUCUACACUGGCUUCCUAGCAUUGAAAGAUUUUUAAAAGUUCAUUCUGAGAUUCCUGAUCUAAAGUUCCAGCCAAGCAAACUUCAAAAGAGCCUAUGUGGUUGAUUGCUAUUCUCACUGAACUUCUCUAAAUAAGCAGAGCAAUUUGAUGAGGCUAAACAUUUUGCAAACAAAUUAGUCUUACUCUGAUUAUCUCUGGUAGAAAUGAGGGGCAACUGUAAAGAGAAAAUGUAUGUUUCAGAAGAAAGAACAUUAUAGUACACUUGUUAUUAGAUUGUAGCCUUGUUUGUUGUUCUAGAGCUUUUGUUAUCUACCUGCAGAAUGGACUGGACCCUGAAUUCUUCUUGUUUCCUCCAAUACAUGUUGACAACUCUC